rnacentral:lncRNA from 1 species
UGGGACCUUAAACCACUUGCCCAACCUCACUGACACUCCAUCCAUCCCUCAUCUGCAGAACUGGGUGAAGCCCCCAGCCCACUCUCCCCCCAACCUGUGACCUAUGACCUGUGACCUGUGACCUGCUGCAGGUCCCGGCACACAAAGCCACGAUGCGUGGAGGCUGCUCUUCUCACUGGCACUAUGGUUGUUGCUGACGUUACCAGCGUCACCUCGAGCAAGCACAGCUCCUGAGAAGGUGCCAGACACAUCGGAUCUGUCAGGGCGCCAGUGCAUCCAGUGGCAACCAACGUCGCUGACACUGACCAUCACCUGGAGGAAAACUCCUGAAGCCACUUGCUUUUCACGGUAACACCAGUGUCAUUAGCCCAAUAUACAGAUGAAGAAACCAAGAUUCAGAGAGGUCCAACAUCCCUCAGGGGCACGGCCUUUGGGACCACACAGUCAAGAUGCCUUUGGCGCCAGUUCUGAGCUCAGGACCAGUGCACAGGCUUUUAAGAAGCUCUCCCCUGGAUCCCAGGAGCUUGCCUCCCCCUCUUGCCUUGUCCUUCAGGCCAGCCUAGGGGCCCUCACGCCCACCUCUGUGGCUGCCCUGGCAACAUCAGGGAAGACAUGACUGUGCCUCCCGC